UACUUUCAUCGUGUGAACGGCUGGGUGGGAAAAGCGGGAAGUAAUGAAUAGCUCCAAAUGGAACAAAGGAACGGAAGGAAUGAGCAUCUGUCAAGAUAUCAACCACCUUCUCUCAUUUGUCGUAUUUGACAAAAAGGCUUUGGCAACUUUGUAAGUACGGAAAAAUGGACAAGGGUCGGUAAAAAAAAAA